AUUGAACGCUGGCGGCAGGCUUAACACAUGCAAGUCGAGCGGGGACUUCGGUCCUAGCGGCGAACGGGUGAGGAAUGCUUGGGAAUCUGCCCAGUAGCGGGGGAUAACGUUUCGAAAGGAACGCUAAUACCGCAUACGCCCUACGGGGGAAAGGGGGGGAUCUUCGGACCUCUCACUAUUGGAUGAGCCCAAGUCGGAUUAGCUAGUUGGUGGGGUAAAGGCCUACCAAGGCGACGAUCCGUAGCUGGUCUGAGAGGAUGAUCAGUCACACUGGAACUGAGACACGGUCCAGACUCCUACGGGAGGCAGCAGUGGGGAAUAUUGGACAAUGGGCGAAAGCCUGAUCCAGCCAUGCCGCGUGUGUGAAGAAGGUCUUCGGAUUGUAAAGCACUUUAAGUUGGGAGGAAGGGUUGUAGAUUAAUACUCUGCAAUUUUGACGUUACCGACAGAAUAAGCACCGGCUAACUCUGUGCCAGCCGCCGCGGUAAAAC
rnacentral:rRNA from 1 species